CCUGGAGCAAAGGUGCUAGUCUCAUUGAAAGAACAAAAAGAAAAAGGAGGAACACAAGGAAUUAGAGGGCUAUUUGCUAUACCAACAUCUUGGAAAAAAUAGUCUGGAACAAAGACAGCCAGUGCCUCUGCUUGCAAAAUGUACAGAAAUACAACAAUACAUUGGAAAACAUAUGAGACUACAGAACCUAAUUUUCUCAAGGUCAACAAAUGAAGUAAGAAAAUAAUGAGGGAAAACAGAAAUGCUGACAGUUAUGAUACAAAUUAUUUAGACCUGGAA